GUCCUGUGGUGUUGAGUUGUCAUUUUAAUGUUAUAUUUCACAUGGCUAUAAAAGAGGGAGGUUUGGCAUGCCACAAAACCAGGUUCAACCCACCAUUUUUUCUUUAAAAAUGUCCUGUACCAAGUCAGGAAUAUGGCCAUUGUUAUAUUAUAGUUCGUUUCUGUGUGUGUUACAUUUUAACGUUGCGUCGUUUGUUUUCUCUUAUUUUUG
rnacentral:lncRNA from 1 species